rnacentral:rRNA from 1 species
UACGUAGGGGGCAAGCGUUGUCCGGAAUCAUUGGGCGUAAAGCGCGUGUAGGCGGCUCGGUAAGUCCGUUCUGAAAGUCCAGGGCUCAACCCUGGGAUGCGGAUGGAUACUGUCGAGCUCGAGUCCGGAAGAGGCGAGUGGAAUUCCUGGCGUAGCGGUGAAAUGCGCAGAUAUCAGGAGGAACACCAAUGGCGAAGGCAGCUCGCUGGGACGUGACUGACGCUGAGACGCGAAAGCGUGGGGAGCAAACAGG